rnacentral:rRNA from 1 species
AUUGAACGCUGGCGGCAGGCUUAACACAUGCAAGUCGAGCGGGGUGAUGGUGCUUGCACUAUCACUUAGCGGCGGACGGGUGAGUAAUGCUUAGGAAUCUGCCUAUUAGUGGGGGACAACAUCUCGAAAGGGAUGCCAAUACCGCAUACGUCCUACGGGAGAAAGCAGGGGAUUACUUGUGACCUUGCGCUAAUAGAUGAGCCUAAGUCGGAUUAGCUAGUUGGUGGGGUAAAGGCCUGCCAAGGCGACGAUCUGUAGCGGGUCUGAGAGGAUGAUCCGCCACACUGGGACUGAGACACGGCCCAGACUCCUACGGGAGGCAGCAGUGGGGAAUAUUGGACAAUGGGGGGAACCCUGAUCCAGCCAUGCCGCGUGUGUGAAGAAGGCCUUAUGGUUGUAAAGCACUUUAAGCGAGGAGGAGGCUCUUUUGGUUAAUACCCAAGAUGAGUGGACGUUACUCGCAGAAUAAGCACCGGCUAACUCUGUGCCAGCAGCCGCCGUAA